ensembl:lncRNA
UAUUUUGUUUUUCAUUUUAUUUUUUAUAAACCCAGCGGUAGUCAGCUGUACAGGCCCGCCCGUGCCUGAGCUAGUGUUACACUGCUGGGAGAGGAACGCUCUGCUCAUGUGGCCUGGUCCAGCAGACACUGUUUUAGUGGCUGUUGAUACUUCGCUUUAGCAGAGCUUUGCCCUUCUGAGAGUUGGCUGUGUUCACACUGUGUUCACCGCCAUAGUCUAAGGACAUACAGAUUUAAUUAAAAUGCCUUUUCUUAUGUAUUUACUUGUAACUAGUUGUUGACCUAAAUCCCAUUCAUUUCAGGAAGGCCUGCUGAUAAAGUGAAUGACGGCGUCUAAAGGUAAUGUUUCUUUCUUUUGUGGGGAAUAUGUUCAGUGCCAUGAUGAUUAUUUAACACAUCAUUCUUAUUGUAUGGUGAAGAACAUUCAGAAAACACUGAGCACCCCUUCCUGUUAUUACAUCUUAAUGUAUUUUCAUACUGUAAUGUCUAAACCCAUCCAUGUUAUUUCAGGACACAUCCUCUAAUUGGCCAAAUAAGAAUUUGCUGUUAUGUUGAAGGUGUAAUGGAGGCUGUGAGGCCGCUACCAUUUGGUUGAAAUUGAAAGAUCAAAGGAAUCAUGCUUAUUACAUGAUGCUGUGAUACCAUCUUUGAAGAAAUGAAGACCAUGUAUCAGGGUGUUGAGUCUCUGGUUUUUAUGCCCUAAGUUGACAGAAAAAUCCUGACUCCUCUAAUUAAAGGAAUUUACAUGGAAUGGUGAUACUUGGUCUCUUGCUGCAGUGGAUGUCAAAGCAAGGAGGUCAUGCUGAUCUUCUGGUAUGCUGCUGGACUAUCGGUGCAUGAUGCUGCUUUACCCGGUUCUGAUGUCUGGAAUUUAUUGAAAGGUAAUGCGCAUGACCACUGACAUGUUUUAUUUUAACCCAAGCUGUACUCAAAAUCACAACAGAGGCUUUUUCCUCUUUGGUGAUCUCUUUUCCUUGGGAGAGUAACACAGGACUUUGGCACAGUUUGACGUAGUCUCAAUCUACAACAAUCUGACUAGAAGACCUGAGACACUUGUUUGCAAUAUGGUCACAUUUAUACUGAAACCUCUUGUAAUUUUUUUUAAUUGAGUCUUGUUUGUUGAUGUUUACAGGAAUGUUCUCUAGAUUCCAUCCUGCUGGAAAUGCUCUCUACUAAGAUGCGCUACUGCUCAUCACACCCCAGCUGGGUUCUUGUCCCUUAAUGCCAUGUAUUCCAGAAGACUCAAGGAAAAGAUUGAAUAAUAUGGAUCCUGGCAUGUCAGUGUUUGAGUUGAUUUGCUG